GCUAGCGUGGUGCAAUGGUUAACACAUCGUCGGACAUUUUCGGUUUCUUCGAAUUCUGGCGAAGAUCUCGGUUCGACCCCGAGCGCUGGCA